GUACAGAGGGUGCAAACGUUGUUCGGAAUUACUGGGCGUAAAGCGCGUGUAGGCGGCUCGGAAAGUCGGAUGUGAAAGCCCUGGGCUUAACCUAGGAAGUGCAUUCGAAACUCCCGAGCUUGAGUUCUGGAGAGGAAGGCGGAAUUCUCGGUGUAGAGGUGAAAUUCGUAGAUAUCAGGAGGAACACCUGUGGUGUAGACAGCUUGCUGGACCAUAACUGACGCUGAGGCACGAAAGCGUGGGUAGCAAACAGG
rnacentral:rRNA from 1 species